GACAGAGGGGGCAAGCGUUGCUCGGAAUUACUGGGCGUAAAGGGCGCGUAGGCGGCCAUCUAAGUCAGACGUGAAAUCCCCCGGCUUAACCUGGGAACUGCGUCUGAUACUGGACGGCUUGAGUAUGGGAGAGGGAUGUAGAAUUCCAGGUGUAGCGGUGAAAUGCGUAGAUAUCUGGAGGAAUACCGGUGGCGAAGGCGGCAGCCUGGACCAUUACUGACGCUGAGGCGCGAAAGCUAGGGGAGCAAACGGG
rnacentral:rRNA from 1 species